rnacentral:rRNA from 1 species
UGCAAGUCGAGCGGCAGCGCGGGGGAGGGUAACCUUUCCUGGCGGCGAGCGGCGAACGGGUGAGUAAUGUAUCGGAACGUACCUCGUCGUGGGGGAUAACGCAGCGAAAGUUGUGCUAAUACCGCAUACGUCCUGAGGGAGAAAGCGGGGGACCCUGGGGUAACUUGGGGCCUCGCGCGAUGAGAGCGGCCGAUAUCUGAUUAGCUAGUUGGUGGGGUAAAGGCUCACCAAGGCGACGAUCAGUAGCUGGUCUGAGAGGACGACCAGCCACACUGGGACUGAGACACGGCCCAGACUCCUACGGGAGGCAGCAGUGGGGAAUUUUGGACAAUGGGGGCAACCCUGAUCCAGCCAUUCCGCGUGAGUGAAGAAGGCCUUCGGGUUGUAAAGCUCCUUCAGUGGGAACGAAACGGUUCAAGUGAAUAACUUGGGCUAAUGACGGUACUCAAAGAAGAAGCACCGGCUAACUACGUGCCAGCAGCCGCGGUAAUACGUAGGGUGCGAGCGUUAAUCGGAAUUACUGGGCGUAAAGCGUGCGCAGGCGGUUAUUUAAGACAGAUGUGAAAUCCCCGGGCUCAACCUGGGAACUGCGUUUGUGACUGGAUAGCUGGAGUAUGGCAGAGGGGGGGUGGAAUUCC